rnacentral:rRNA from 1 species
AUUGAACGCUGGCGGCAGGCUUAACACAUGCAAGUCGAGCGAGCGGCGGACGGGUGAGUAAUGUCUGGGCCACUUCCUGAUGGAGGGGGAUAAAUACUGGAACCGGUAGCUAAUACCGCAUACCAUCAGAUGUGCCCAGAUGGGAUUAGCGAGUAGGUGGGGUAAUGGCUCACCUAGGCGACGAUCCCUAGCUGGUCUGAGAGGAUGACCAGCCACACUGGAACUGAGACACCGGCCAGACUCCUACGGGAGGCAGCAGUGGGGAAUAUUGGACAAUGGGCGCAAGCCUGAUGCAGCCAUGCCGCGUGUGUGAAGAAGGCCUUCGGGUUGUAAAGCACUUUCAGCGAGGAGGCGUUACUCGCAGAAGAAGCACCGGCUAACUCCGUGCCAGCAGCCGCGGUAAUUC